UACGGAGGGUGCAAGCAUUAAUCGGAAUUAUUGGGCGUAAAGGGCGCGUAGGCGGAUGUAUAAGUCAGAUGUGAAAUUCCGGAACUCAAUUCCGGAGCUGCAUUUGAAACUGUAUAUCUCGAGGGAUGGCGGAGAAAACGGAAUUCCACGUGUAGCGGUGAAAUGCGUAGAUAUGUGGAAGAACACCUGUGGCGAAAGCGGUUUUCUAGUUGAUACCUGACGCUGAGGCGCGAGAGCAAGGGGAGCAAACAGG
rnacentral:rRNA from 1 species